CGGGUGAGUAAUGUCUGGGAAACUGCCUGAUGGAGGGGGGUAACUACUGGAAACGGUAGCUAAUACCGCAUAACGUCGCAAGACCAAAUGGGGGACCUUCGGGCCUCAUGCCAUCGGAUGUGCCCAGAUGGGAUUAGCUAGUAGGUGGGGUAACGGCUCACCUAGGCGACGAUCCCUAGCUGGUCUGAGAGGAUGGCCAGCCACACUGGAACUGAGACACGGUCCAG
rnacentral:rRNA from 1 species